rnacentral:rRNA from 1 species
GUUGUAUGGUUAAGUGACUAAGCGUACACGGUGGAUGCCUUGGCAGUCAGAGGCGAUGAAAGACGUAGUAACUUGCGAUAAGCCCAGAUUAGGUAGUAACAACCAUUUGAGUCUGGGAUUUCUGAAUGGGGAAACCCACUUACAUAAGUAAGUAUCAUUAACUGAAUACAUAGGUUAAUGAGGCGAACCGGGGGAACUGAAACAUCUAAGUACCCCGAGGAAAAGAAAUCAACCGAGAUUCCGAAAGUAGCGGCGAGCGAAAUUGGACUAGCCCUUAAGCUUUACACGCGUUAGACGAACGGUCUGGAAAGUCCGACGAUACAGGGUGAUAGUCCCGUAGUUGACGACGUGUGUUCAGUGAAAUCGAGUAGGGCGGGACACGUGAUAUCCUGUCUGAAUAUGGGGGGACCAUCCUCCAAGGCUAAAUACUACUGACUGACCGAUAGUGAACCAGUACCGUGAGGGAAAGGCGAAAAGAACCCCUGUGAGGGGAGUGAAAUAGAACCUGAAACCGUGUACGUACAAGCAGUAGGAGCAGGCUUUGUCCUGUGACUGCGUACCUUUUGUAUAAUGGGUCAGCGACUUAUAUUCAGUGGCAAGGUUAACCAUCUAGGGGAGCCGUAGGGAAACCGAGUCUUAACUGGGCGUUCAGUCUCUGGAUAUAGACCCGAAACCAGGUGAUCUAGCCAUGGGCAGGUUGAAGGUUGAGUAACAUCAACUGGAGGACCGAACCGACUAAUGUUGAAAAAUUAGCGGAUGACUUGUGGCUAGGGGUGAAAGGCCAAUCAAACCUGGAGAUAGCUGGUUCUCCCCGAAAGCUAUUUAGGUAGCGCCUCGGACGAAUACUACUGGGGGUAGAGCACUGUUAAGGCUAGGGGGUCAUCCCGACUUACCAACCCUUUGCAAACUCCGAAUACCAGUAAGUACUAUCCGGGAGACACACGGCGGGUGCUAACGUCCGUCGUGGAGAGGGAAACAACCCAGACCGCCAGCUAAGGUCCCAAAUUACUACUAAGUGGGAAACGAUGUGGGAAGGCUCAGACAGCCAGGAUGUUGGCUUAGAAGCAGCCAUCAUUUAAAGAAAGCGUAAUAGCUCACUGGUCGAGUCGGCCUGCGCGGAAGAUGUAACGGGGCUAAGUAGUAAACCGAAGCUGCGGCAAUGUGCUUUUGCACAUUGGGUAGGGGAGCGUUCUGUAAGCGGUUGAAGGUGUGUGGUAACGCAUGCUGGACGUAUCAGAAGUGCGAAUGCUGACAUGAGUAACGAUAAAGGGGGUGAAAAACCUCCUCGCCGGAAGACCAAGGGUUCCUGUCCAACGUUAAUCGGGGCAGGGUAAGUCGACCCCUAAGGCGAGGCCGAAAGGCGUAGUCGAUGGGAAACGGGUUAAUAUUCCCGUACUUCUUACAAUUGCGAUGGGGGGACGGAGAAGGCUAGGUGGGCCUGGCGACGGUUGUCCAGGUUCAAGUGCGUAGGCUUAAGAGUUAGGUAAAUCCGGCUCUUUCUAAGGCUGAGACACGACGUCGAGCACCUACGGGUGUGAAGUCAUUGAUGCCAUGCUUCCAGGAAAAGCCUCUAAGCUUCAGAUUGUAAGGAAUCGUACCCCAAACCGACACAGGUGGUCGGGUAGAGAAUACCAAGGCGCUUGAGAGAACUCGGGUGAAGGAACUAGGCAAAAUGGUACCGUAACUUCGGGAGAAGGUACGCUCUCGACGGUGAAGUCCCUUGCGGAUGGAGCUAUUGAGAGUCGCAGAUACCAGGUGGCUGCAACUGUUUAUUAAAAACACAGCACUGUGCAAAAUCGUAAGAUGACGUAUACGGUGUGACGCCUGCCCGGUGCCGGAAGGUUAAUUGAUGGGGUUAGACUUCGGUCGAAGCUCUUGAUCGAAGCCCCGGUAAACGGCGGCCGUAACUAUAACGGUCCUAAGGUAGCGAAAUUCCUUGUCGGGUAAGUUCCGACCUGCACGAAUGGCGUAAUGAUGGCCACGCUGUCUCCACCCGAGACUCAGUGAAAUUGAAAUCGCUGUGAAGAUGCAGUGUACCCGCGGCUAGACGGAAAGACCCCGUGAACCUUUACUACAGCUUGGCACUGAACAUUGACCCUACAUGUGUAGGAUAGGUGGGAGGCUUUGAAGCACGUACGCCAGUAUGUGUGGAGCCGUCCUUGAAAUACCACCCUUGUAGUGUUGAUGUUCUAACGUCGACCCCUAAUCGGGGUUGCGGACAGUGCCUGGUGGGUAGUUUGACUGGGGCGGUCUCCUCCCAAAGAGUAACGGAGGAGCACGAAGGUGGGCUAAUCACGGUUGGACAUCGUGAGGUUAGUGCAAUGGCAUAAGCCCGCUUGACUGCGAGAAUGACAAUUCGAGCAGGUGCGAAAGCAGGUCAUAGUGAUCCGGUGGUUCUGAAUGGAAGGGCCAUCGCUCAACGGAUAAAAGGUACUCCGGGGAUAACAGGCUGAUACCGCCCAAGAGUUCAUAUCGACGGCGGUGUUUGGCACCUCGAUGUCGGCUCAUCACAUCCUGGGGCUGAAGUCGGUCCCAAGGGUAUGGCUGUUCGCCAUUUAAAGUGGUACGCGAGCUGGGUUUAGAACGUCGUGAGACAGUUCGGUCCCUAUCUGCCGUGGGCGUUGGAAGAUUGAAGGGGGCUGCUCCUAGUACGAGAGGACCGGAGUGGACGAACCUCUGGUGUUCGGGUUGUGUCGCCAGACGCAUUGCCCGGUAGCUAAGUUCGGAAUCGAUAACCGCUGAAAGCAUCUAAGCGGGAAGCGAGCCCUGAGAUGAGUCUUCCCUGAUACUUUAAGUAUCCUAAAGGGUUGUCGGAGACUACGACGUUGAUAGGUCAGGUGUGUAAGUGCUGUGAGGCAUUGAGCUAACUGAUACUAAUUGCCCGUGAGGCUUAACCAUACAACACCCAAGGGGUUU